UCUAUGACUCUAAGACUGCCUUGCAAAUUCAAAGGAGUGGAUGCUGGAAUUUUAAAUUGCUCACGAUUUUAAAGUCUGUUACACACACAUACAGGUCAGUGCACAUUCUUGAAAUUAUUUUGUAUGGGGUGGGGAGCAAGUGGCAUGUCCAUGUUUGACACUCCUCUACUCCUCCAUCCACACCCUGCAACAUCCUGGAAGUGUUUCUAAAGACACUUCAUAGUGGAGUUGAGGAAGAGAACAGAUGCAAUGGUACACGAGGCCACAGCUGCCAGAUGCCCACUGAUGCGAUUCCAGUAAAGAUGUAUAUGUUGUCGGCAUUCAUUCCCUAAUGACAACCAGUCAUGAUUCACCAACUGUCGGUCAGCAGUGGUGUUUUAUUUUUGCAUGAGCAGUGCCACAGUAUGACCAAUCCUACUGUAGUUUCCAGUAGGCCUCUGCAACAUAAAGGAUCCAACACAGUGACAUUUUUGCAAUAGGUGGAUGUCUGACAGCAGAAUAUGAGUUCAUUACUGCUUCAAAGAAAUCCAAGAGAGGAGAAACAUACCCUUCAUAUUCUGUGACAGCUGAGGAAGAAAAUGCUAAUAUAUGCUGCCUAACCCGCUGAGUUCUUCCAACCUUCUAUGAAUAUGGCAAUGACCAGAUAUGUUGAGUGAUGGAUAAACAUUAGAUAGGUUAACUAUUCUACACUUUUUUGGAGUAUUGUGAUAAUUUAUGUCCACUUCAGAAAACAGAUGGAUCCUUGAAGUACUUAAUUUCCUUUGUGUUGCACAUUUCAGUUUCCAUUUUUGAGCUAAUGAUUGAGUCUCUUCUGACUGAGGUGAGAAUGACACAAACUGAGCCAUGAUUGACAAGUUUACGAAAGCAUAAAUCUAGAUAUUGGACUGCAUUUAUUUUUGAUGCAAUAAAAUAAUAUUGUGUUUAGUGCUUAUGCCAUAUUGGAACCCUUCAUUGUAAUAUUUGUAAUUGUAAUGUUCAAUAAAAACCUACAGCAUUACCACCCAGAAAGAAGCAUUAAAAUAUGAUCUGCGGGUUCCUGACUGGGUCAUAAUCAAUGCAGAACAACUGGUGAUAUAUGGCUCUGUUUGAAGUCAAGAAUUCAAUGAAAGGUGCCAGCCUUUGAUGUUACAUUCCCAUGGGACCUAGGCAGCAGCAAUAGACAUGGGAAAAGCUAGCGUGCAGUAAAGAAAGAGAAAGUUCCCAAAUUACUUGGAGAAAAAAGUGCUCAUUAAUGAGAAAAUGUCGUGAGGGUCAUGAAACUAUACUAACACCAUUUGGCAAGAUUUUUUAAAUGAUCUCCUCCAGUGAGAAUCCACACAUAUAGGGCACAAAAGAAAAUUUGUGAAUUUGAGUUAUUUUGUAUGACCUGCAGAUGACUAAAAAUACUGCCCUCUCAUACUGUCAAAGAUGUGUGUGCACAUUUUGUAUGACCUGCAGACGACUAAAUAAUGCUGCCCUCUCAUAAAUAUAUACGCACACACGCAGGCUACAACACUCGUGAACUAAUUUGUCUUUUGCAGGAGCAGACACAUAUCCCCCCGCAUCUCUUCAUCAUAAGAGGUGUCGUACUUGUGCAGUCGAACUGUGCAGUGAGCUGAUACUGGGAGGCAUAGACAAAAGGAAAAGACACAUGUGAAUGUCUGUCAACUGAGCCAAGUCUGGUUCAGGAGAUUGAAACAAUGGUGGGAUGGUCUUGGUGCAGGUAAUAGCACCUUCAUCUAUCCACUUCAAGAUGAUAGCUAGGUGUCCACAACAUUAUUAUCUCUCACAAGGUCACUAAAUCAUUUCCCACCACAGCCUCUCACGUAUGCUUCACACCCAGUCAUCCCCAGCUGCUCCUCAAACCAUUGGCACCAAUCUGAAGCCAGGAAAGAUUUGUGGGUUGUCAAAGUCAUUUAAUGUAUGUAAAUGCAAAAUGAAAGAAGAAAAUCGGAAUACAGCCACAGAGAGAAUACUGCAAUAGAGCGCUGGGAUACUGAAAGUCACUUACACAUAUUUUCAAAUGAGAAAGGCAUUAAAUGUACAACUUUGCAAUGGAAAAAUUACUAUUAUUUGUAUUAUUUGAUUUUCCUUGGUUAUGAAUUAUCUUCAAUACACUAGCGACGUUCAAAUGCAUUCUCAUUUGGCCCAUAAAAUGUUUCAGUGUAGAGGUACGGCCGAUUGGUAUGGCAGCAAUUUACAUCGCUCAGAACCCUAUGGUAUCUUACCUAGAAAUGGUUACUAAUUAAAUCCUUUUUACAUCUACAUGCUCAAGCAAUCCAUUGAUUGUUGCCAAACUAUUAUCUAACACUUUUACCAAUAGAAAUUGUUGACUUAGCGCGGCACAUUUGUUUGUGAAAUAAUUUGAUUUACAGUAUGUCAAAGGUGUCAUGUCGUUUAGAGCCAUGUAUGUGACCGCCAAUGUAAAGUUGAUUUCUAUUAGUCAUAGAAUCAUACAGCAUGGAAACAGGCCCAUUGGCCCAACUUGCCCAUGCCGACCAAGAUGUCCCAUCUACAUUAAUCCCAACUGUCUGCAUUUGGCCCAUAUCUUUCCAAACCUUAUUAUCCACAUACCUGCCCAAAUGAUUACAGGAUUAUAGGGUUCUUAUUCCAAUUUCAGGCUUCUUCAUCCCUAUUGGUUUGACCUAAUAAUACCUAAUUACCUAAUAAAGGUAAACUUUGUGGGAUGGACUCAUUUGAAUGAAAGAUUGAAAUAUAUGAGAAAGUUUGCAAGGAGUAAAGUUGCACAUUUACUGUAGUGCCUUUCUCAUUUGACAAUUGUGUUAGUGGAUUUCAAUAUUCAAGUGCUGCAUUGUAGUAUUAUCUGUGGUUGUUUUCUGGUAGCUAGAAGGUUGUAUUCUUUCUGUUUCAUGUUGCCCAUUUUAUUGGUGCCUCAUUUAUAUUAAGAAUUGAAAAUAACAGCUAACGGUGGGAGCAUUAGCCAAAAGUAAUUGUUUGUGUGGGAAAGAAUUACUUUCCGCUGAUCAAGUUCAAUUGUUGUGAACUGAGUGAAUGACGAUGCUUCUACUGCAGAGACAUUCAGUUCUUCUUUAUUGUAUAUUUUGAAUUGAUGAAGUGGUGUUAUGUUACAGAACUCCAUGAGGGAUUUCAUAUUGCGGAAUAAGUUUGGACCUCUUGGCUACUGCAGUGACACUUAUUUGGGUUAUAGUACUUGUCAAUAAGUGUUUGCUGACCCAGAAUGGAGAGCCUUGCUAUGUUCUACUCCAAAUUUAUGAUUAUGUUCAUAAACUUCCUCAUGUUUUCACAAGCAGAGCCCUUUUUUGUGCUUGUUUCAUAGACGUUACUUUGCCAUCUGAAUUAUUUUCUAUCUUCACUGAGCUUUGUCAGCUCUUGCAGACCACUGCUGUAUCCUGAUUUGUUACAGCAAAACAAUCGAGCUGCUAAACUAAUUACCAGAAUGGUUGCCCUGACAAUGACAACUGCUUUUCCUGCCUUUCCCAGUCACAUGACCUGAGGUAUUCCAGCCAAGAAACUCCCAGAGUCUUGAGUCAUUAUUGCACUCAUCCUUUUGCUUAUACCUGCAUCCUGCACUGACCAACAUUUUCUUGUGUUUUCAGAUAUUAUUUCCACAGCUGUAGCAAUAUUAUAGGCUAUUUCAAAUGUAGUCUCUAAAAAGCCAAGGCUGCAUGGAUUAAUCUACAAGUCUACAUGCCAGUUCAGAACUCACAAUGAGAUAUCAAGUGUCCGUGGACUGCAACCAAUUUGUCAACAAUCUAGUGGAUGUGGUCUUGUAUCGGGUCUUUUCCAAAGUGCUCAAAUGAGGACUAUUAUGGCUGAAGAAGGACAGAUAAAUAUGGAUAUGCUUGGCACAAUGAGAGUAGCCGAGAAUGUGCCUGUCAUCAACCUUUCACAGCAUUUGACAUGAAGCAUGGUGGCUAUUCGUGUCAGUCAGAAAAUGGUCUGCAUGUAUCCAACCACCCUCUUCCACUAUGGCACGGGAUUCCAGUAUAAGUAAGGGGAUGUGAUGGCAGCAGUACAAUCUCUUUUCCAGCAGAACAGGUUCUCUGUUGC